AUGAACGCUGGCGGCGUGCCUAAUACAUGCAAGUCGAGCGAACAGACGAGGAGCUUGCUCCUCUGACGUUAGCGGCGGACGGGUGAGUAACACGUGGAUAACCUUCCUAUAAGACUGGGAUAACUUCGGGAAACCGGAGCUAAUACCGGAUAACAUGUUGAACCGCAUGGUUCAACAGUGAAAGACGGUCUUGCUGUCACUUAUAGAUGGAUCCGCGCCGCAUUAGCUAGUUGGUAAGGUAACGGCUUACCAAGGCAACGAUGCGUAGCCGACCUGAGAGGGUGAUCGGCCACACUGGAACUGAGACACGGUCCAGACUCCUACGGGAGGCAGCAGUAGGGAAUCUUCCGCAAUGGGCGAAAGCCUGACGGAGCAACGCCGCGUGAGUGAAGAAGGUCUUCGGAUCGUAAAACUCUGUUAUUAGGGAAGAACAAAUGUGUAAGUAACUAUGCACGUCUUGACGGUACCUAAUCAGAAAGCCACGGCUAACUACGUG
rnacentral:rRNA from 1 species